CAGGGUUCAGAGGUGACAGAGGAGAGGUCAGGGUUCAGAGGUGACAGGAGGUGGUCAGGGUUCAGAGGUGACAGAGGAGGUGCUCAGGGUUCAGAGGUGACAGAGAGGAGGUGGUCAGGGUUCAGAGGUGACAGAGGAGAGGUCAGGGUUCAGAGGUGACAGAGAGGAGGUGGUCAGGGUUCAGAGGUGACAGAGAGGAGGUGGUCAGGGUUCAGAGGUGACAGAGAGGAGGUGGUCAGGGUUCAGAGGUGACAGAGGAGAGGUGGUCAGGGUACAGAGGUGACAGGAGAUCAGGGGUCAUUCAGGGAGUAUUCAGACCCCUUCCCUUUUCCACAUGUUGCCUUAUUCUAAAAUGGAUUAAAAAAUGUAUUAAAAU